rnacentral:lncRNA from 1 species
AAAAAAUUGAAUUUCAUGAGCUAAAGUUACAUUUUCAGUAAAACAAUAACCCAAUUGAUAACAAGUUUAUUAAAAUAAAUUAAAUAACUGGGGAGUAAAUUCUUACAAGGGCAAGAUUGGCAUUGGCACAACUGCUGAUUUUGAUUAGAAGCACCUUCUUGUCCUUGAGCAGCUGAAGAUUCAUGCGAGCAAUUCUGACAAGUCUUGAGAACAUUCUUCAGCCGCUUGUACUCGACAUGCGAGCAAUUCUCCGAGAAUCGUAUCUUUUCCUUGUGCAAAAACUCGGUGUAAGUCUCUCCAAAUUUCA